CGAAGAUGUACCGGGGCUCAAGCCGUACACCGAAGCUGAGGGCAUGGAUUUAUCCAUGCGGUAGCGGAGCGUUCCGUAGGCCUGCGAAGGGGGAGUGUGAACUCUCCUGGAGGUAUCGGAAGUGCGAAUGCUGACAUGAGUAGCGUUAAAGGGGGUGAAAAGCCCCCUCGCCGAAAGCGCAAGGUUUCCUACGCAACGUUCAUCGGCGUAGGGUGAGUCGGCCCCUAAGGCG
rnacentral:rRNA from 13 species